AUUGAACGCUGGCGGCAUGCCUUACACAUGCAAGUCGAACGGUAACAGGUCUUCGGAUGCUGACGAGUGGCGAACGGGUGAGUAAUACAUCGGAACGUGCCCGAUCGUGGGGGAUAACGAGGCGAAAGCUUUGCUAAUACCGCAUACGAUCUACGGACGAAAGCGGGGGAUCUUCGGACCUCGCGCGGGCGGAGCGGCCGAUGGCGGAUUAGGUAGUUGGUGGGAUAAAAGCUUACCAAGCCGACGAUCUGUAGCUGGUCUGAGAGGAUGAUCAGCCACACUGGGACUGAGACACGGCCCAGACUCCUACGGGAGGCAGCAGUGGGGAAUGUUGGACAAUGGGCGAAAGCCUGAUCCAGCCAUGCCGCGUGCAGGAUGAAGGCCUUCGGGUUGUAAACUGCUUUUGUACGGAACGAAAAGCCUCUUUCUAAUAAAGAGGGGUCAUGACGGUACCGUAAGAAUAAGCACCGGCUAACUACGUG
rnacentral:rRNA from 1 species